rnacentral:sRNA from 1 species
GUUUUGCGUGGGAGGCGGUCCCAGGAUUUCAAGGGUCUACGGGCUCUUUUAUGGCGAAUGCAAUCCGAAAAGAGAGCAAGCUGUAUCUUCAGAGUCGUCUCCGUCUUUCCAAGAACAGAACAAAAUGAACAAGGGUAUUGUGCUCACAAACCAGAGGUGAUCUUCAGGCUGGAACAAGGAGAAGAACCAUGGAGACUGGAGGAAGAAUUUCCAAGCUGGAGCUUUCCAGGCUCCUCUUGGCUAUGGUGGUUUCCCAGACUUUCCUUGUUUUGGAUGACCUUGACAGUUUGGAGGAGUCCUGGUGAGAAGUCUGGACAGCUGAUCACCUGAAAGAGAGGAGCCAAGAAAACCAAUCUAAACAUUUGUGGGAAGUUGUAUUCAUCAAUAAUGAAAUGCUGACUAAGGAACAAG